UCCCUGGUGGCUCAGAUGGUAAAGAAUCUGUCUGCUGUGCAGGUGACCCGGGUUCAAUCCCUGGGUGGGGAA
rnacentral:tRNA from 1 species